UACGGGGGGGGCAAGCGUUGUUCGGAAUUACUGGGCGUAAAGGGCUCGUAGGCGGCCAACUAAGUCAGACGUGAAAUCCCCAGGCUCAACCUGGGAACUGCGUCUGAUACUGGAUGGCUUGAAUUCGGGAGAGGGAUGCAGAAUUCCAGGUGUAGCGGUGAAAUGCGUAGAUAUCUGGAGGAAUACCGGUGGCGAAGGCGGCAUCCUGGACCGACAUUGACGCUGAGGCACGAAGGCCAGGGGAGCAAACGGG
rnacentral:rRNA from 1 species